AUUGAACGCUGGCGGCAGGCCUAACACAUGCAAGUCGAACGGCAGCACAGAAGAGCUUGCUCUUCGGGUGGCGAGUGGCGGACGGGUGAGUAAUGUCUGGGAAACUGCCCGAUGGAGGGGGAUAACUACUGGAAACGGUAGCUAAUACCGCAUAACGUCGCGAGACCAAAGUGGGGGACCUUCGGGCCUCACACCAUCGGAUGUGCCCAGAUGGGAUUAGCUAGUAGGUGGGGUAACGGCUCACCUAGGCGACGAUCCCUAGCUGGUCUGAGAGGAUGACCAGCCACACUGGAACUGAGACACGGUCCAGACUCCUACGGGAGGCAGCAGUGGGGAAUAUUGCACAAUGGGCGCAAGCCUGAUGCAGCCAUGCCGCGUGUAUGAAGAAGGCCUUCGGGUUGUAAAGUACUUUCAGCGGGGAGGAAGGCGAUGUGGUUAAUAACCGCGUCAAUUGACGUUACCCGCAGAAGAAGCACCGGCUAACUCCGUG
rnacentral:rRNA from 1 species